CCAUUAGAUGAUGAAGAGAUGAUCUUGUACAUCCUCACUGGCAUCGACGUUGACUACAAUUCAAUCGUGUCCGCUAUGAUUGCACGAGUGGAACCUGUCUCAGUCAAUGAGUGUUAUGCUCAACUUCUGAGUUUCGAAA